GGCUCAGAUUGAACGCUGGCGGCAUGCCUUACACAUGCAAGUCGAACGGCAGCACGGGAGCUUGCUCCUGGUGGCGAGUGGCGAACGGGUGAGUAAUACAUCGGAACGUACCCUGAAGUGGGGGAUAACGUAGCGAAAGUUACGCUAAUACCGCAUAUUCUGUGAGCAGGAAAGAGGGGGAUCGCAAGACCUCUUGCUUUAGGAGCGGCCGAUGUCGGAUUAGCUAGUUGGUGAGGUAAAGGCUCACCAAGGCGACGAUCCGUAGCGGGUCUGAGAGGAUGAUCCGCCACACUGGGACUGAGACACGGCCCAGACUCCUACGGGAGGCAGCAGUGGGGAAUUUUGGACAAUGGGCGCAAGCCUGAUCCAGCCAUGCCGCGUGAGUGAAGAAGGCCUUCGGGUUGUAAAGCUCUUUCGGUGGGGAAGAAAUUGCUUCGGUUAAUACCUGGAGUAGAUGACGGUACCCGCAUAAGAAGCACCGGCUAACUACGUG
rnacentral:rRNA from 1 species